AAUGCUGAAGGCUUGAGUUUACCUCAAAAUUUAAAGACGUCGGCUCUAGUGGCUUAUUCUGAUAUGGAAAUGGAGCAUUAAACAUUGGUUAGGUUUUGAUACCCAGGAAAAAGAAACUUGGACCAGAAAUGGCUUAACGGGUCCUCUCAGAUUUUCCCACUUUGUUUUCGAGGAGCAAUAUAGGUUGCCAAGGUUUCACCAGACGGAGACACCUGCAGCUAUACGUGGCAUCUUACUGCUGGAACUAUAAAGGGGACCAACAGACAACAGAUGACAUGUUUCAGUAACGGCCUCAGCCUCCAUGGCUUGGCCCAGAUGGAAAUUCCAGACAGGAAUGAUGGGAAAUCAAAGAUGUUACAAGGGGAUUGCAAGAUGAGGCAGACAUGAUGGCUGAUAUAUCAGCUUUAUGACUUGUGCUAAGAACCUGUCUUUGAUAUCAUUCAAUUUAUUGACGACAAAAGUCAUAAUCAUCCGCUCAGUUGGUGAUGCUGCAGAACAGGAGAGUCCCAUUUUCAUGACAGGAACUACGAAUUCUUCGACCAUGCUUGCAGCACUGACACGGGGAUGGGGUUUCCUCAUCAUGAUCAACUCUGUCUCUUCUGCGUUCUCUUCUUCGGAAAGCAUAGAUAGGUCAACAACAUCCAUGACAUGUUCGGGCAAGGCUACUUCGACGAAAUUGUGAAGGCUCUGAUCGUCUUUGAACAUGUCAUCUGUUGGACUUUUACCUGUAAACAUCUCCAGUAACAGUAUCCCAUAGCUGUAAAUAUCUCCGUGUAUUGAAGCUUGACCACCUAUGCCAUACUCUGCAACUUGUAACAGAUUUUAAUUAGUCAUUGAAUUUUGGCAAUUUCAUGUGUGCUAAUGUACACACAAACA